rnacentral:rRNA from 1 species
AUUGAACUCUGGCGGCAGGCCUAACACAUGCAAGUCGAACGCGUGGCGGACGGGUGAGUAAUGUCUGGGAAACUGCCCGAUGGCGGGGGAUAACUACUGGAAACGGUAGCUAAUACCGCAUACCAUCGGAUGUGCCCAGAUGGGAUUAGCUCGUAGGUGGGUUAAUGGCUCACCUAGGCGACGAUCCCUAGCUGGUCUGCGAGGAUGACCAGACACAAUGGAACUGAGACACGGUCCAGACGCCUACGGGAGGUAGCAGUGGGGAAGAUUGCACAAUGGGCGCAAGCCUGAGGCAGCCAUGCCGCGUGUAUGAAGAAGGCCGUCGGGUUGUAAAGUACUUUCAGCGAGGAGGCGUUACUCGCAGAAGAAGCACCGGCUAACUCCGUGCCAGCAGCCGCGGUAAUUC